UUUUGGUACCGCUACACGCCCAGUUUACUGUGGCGACAUCAUGUGAUCCAUUCUUCCUAGUCCGGGGGCCUGGCAACAGUUCGCUAUUUCAGCGUUGAGUAGCGUUGCCAAGUGUAUACGUUUACUUUAUCUACUUUUAAAACUAUUUCCAAAGCCAGACAUGGCGGCGCUUAGUUUUGUAAUUCCCAUGUCGGUAAUGACUCUGUUUUGGGGGAUUAUUGGUGGAGUUGUGCCGUGGUUUAUCCCCAAAGGACCGAACAGAGGAGUGAUAGUUACCAUGUUGGUGCUAACUGCUGUCUGCUGCUACCUGUUCUGGCUGAUAGCGAUCCUGGCCCAGCUCAACCCUCUGUUUGGACCAGCUCUAAAGAAUGAUACCAUCUGGUACAUGUACUACCACUGGCCCUAGUCUACCAGUCUACCAGCCCUCGACCCCUCUCCUGCUACAGGUAAACCCACUGGCUCUAGUCUACCAGCCCUCGACCCCUCUCCUGCUACAGGGGAGGACCUGACUCACUGCUGUACACCAAUGAAGCCCUCACUCAAUCACCUCCUCACGAAGGGAACUGUUUUUGUAUAGCUUAAGCCUUAACCCAGCCUUUGACACCUGACCUUAGUGAGAGUGGAGAGAUGCCUGCAAAAAUGAUUUGUACAAACGGAUCCCCAAAAGGACUUUUCUAGAGAAAUCCUCUUUAGUGCUUUAAGAAUAAAGUAUCGACCUUUGAUUUGUAUGUUCUGUGUGAUGUGCUGUAUGACAUUUUGAUUCUCUAACAUUGAUAUAUGAUAUUGUCAAGUCAUGUUGCUAGUUAGCCUAGCCCGUUUAUAUAUGCUAACUACCUUUAGCGCCUAUUGACGACAGUAUCUUCUGGCCAGGGGAGUUUUGUUCCUCUGAACGUUAACACGCAUCGCUUGCGGUAUGGUUAAAUUACUACACACCUUUUAUAGGGUUCCCACACUGCCAUAUUCCCAUGUUAUAGUGUUUUGUUUAUGGAAAAAAGACAGGAAGAUUGAAUGGACUACAUGCUAAUUAGCUACCUGUGAUUGUGUAAAGGGAAGAAACACGCCACAAAUGUGUCACAGAAAAAUACUGUCAGAUGCAACCAUGUUAAAUCAGUGCAGUAAGUAUAUAUUUUGCAUUUGUGAAAUUAUUUUGAUGUGUUUUGAAAGGAGAGGACUUUUCUAGAACCGUACCAUAGUGGAGAAUCGAUUCAUGAUUAGAUGGAGUAUUUGGCUGUUUUGGCUGCCAGAGCCAAUUCCCCUCUAAACAGUAACAUUAGGCUCCUUUAGUUCAUUAUUGGAUUCUCCGUACCCCAUAUGUAUGUUGCAUGUAACGCAGGCUUUUUUUUAUUCCAUAUGUCCUUCAUUGUGUGUGUGAUGGCAUUCAUUAUUGUCCUUAGAAAUGUUAGAUAUUAAACGUCAUCAAUCCA